AACAGAAAGAAAAACUUGAAGGGACACAGUCUUAAAAGGGAUUUCAAAAGAGAAACCAGGAACAACAAUAAAAUGUCCCUAUCCCAUGACCCUGCCAGUUCUUCAGAAAAAUGAACUCUCCCAAAGUGACAAGGUAUCCUAGUAGAGGCAUCAGAAGGCUCCUGACCUUAGGAGAGUGCUGCCACCCAUUGGUCCCAUCAGAGAGAAGAGGGGCCUAGUUACCUGCUCCUAUCAGAAGCUGUCUGGGACCUAAGCCUGUUUUCUCCAGAACUUGAAAACCCAGAAAAGCAAGUUGUUCCAGGCACUGGUUUGGUGACUCAGUCAUUGUGCUUGGACAGAGGACCACUCUAAGUCCCCGCUGUCGUCUUUGGGGCACAUCUUAAAGAGACUCCAGAUUCCCCAGAGGCCAAGCAAGAGCGAGUCCUUCAGCCCUUUAUUUAAAACUGUAUUAUGGAAGAAACGAAGGAGUCACCUCUGUCUUUAGAGGAAAAUGCAUCUCACCAUUUUUCCUAGUUAUUUUAUAAUCAAAUUAUUUCGGGUUUAUCAACCCCAUCCUCACCGUAGCUCUGCAUUAAAGAACAAUUUAUGCAUUGAGUUUUAUAGGUAAGACAAAA
ensembl:lncRNA